UGCCACCCUCACCUGCCUUCUCCUUUCCACAUACUUCCUCUGAAACCAUGGACAGGCUCAUGUGUCCUCCGAUGAUACUGAAUCUGGGAUUCUAGUGUGGACAACAAUCCAGGGGCAAGAAUUAAUGGUGUACAAUGAAAAAACCAGCAAUUCAGACCAAGAUGGAAAAGCAGAUGUGAAGUCCCUCAUGGCGAAGUUUAACACAGGGAGCAACCUGGCAGAGGAGGUCUCAGGUAAUAACCGGCCCUUCAAAGCCACAGCACAAAACUCACCUUCGGGAAUACAAGCCAGAAAGAACUUAUUUGACAACCAGGGAAAUGUCAACCCUCCCACAGGACCCAGCAACAUGCCCAAGUUUGGGACUCCAAAGCCACCUUUGGCAGUGAAACCUACUUUCGAGGAAAAGCCUGACAAGGAGCCCAAACCUCCUUUUGUAAAACCCAGUGGAGUGAACCAAAGAUUUGGAACUUUGUCAAACUCAGCUACCAGAGAGCCUGACAUAAAAAUGGGAUUUCCAAAACCUGGAGGCCUCAAGCCCAUCAAUUUGCCAAAAGAAGAUUCCAAACCUGUGUUUCCCCGGCCUCCUGGAAAUAAGUCGUCACUUCACAGUGUGAACCAAGACCAAGACAUGAAGACACCAGGCCCAAAGCCUGGGACUGCCCCUCCAGCCCCGGAAAGUGAGCAAAGACUAGCAUUCUCCAGGCUGGCUGGGGCUAAAGGCAAGUUUACAUCAGCCUCACCAGAUCAUGAUGCCAAACCCCUGUUCCCCAAACCCAUCAUUGGCCAGAAGCCAGCCCUGGGUACCGAAAACUCCCAUGAAGAUGAGAACCUCACUAAGAAUAUGUCUGCCCAGAAAGGAUCCCCCACACCCCUAGGAGCCAAGUCCAAGGGAGGCUCUGUAAAACCAACAAGGGAAGCCCCAGAAAAUAAAGGCCAUGGAGGUGACGCAUCAAGUUCUCCAUUCACUGGAGUGGUUCUGAAACCUGCUGGAAGCCGAGGAAGCCCAGGCCUUUCCAGAAAUGGUGAAGAAAAUAAAGAAUAUAGGAAGAUAGAUGCCACUAAGAAUAUCUUCCUCAGCAAAGUGAAUCAGGAAGAGUCAGCCAAGUUCCCUAAGCCUCCUUCCAAGCUGACAGUGGGGGGGCCAUGGGGCCAAAGUCAAGAGAAAGAAAAGAAAGACAAAAACCCAGCAAUCCCAAAGCAGAAACCAUUGCCUCCUUUGUCUACCUUGGGUCCACCUCCACCCAAACCCAGCAGACCACCCAAUGUUGACCUGACGAAAUUCCGAAAAGCUGAUUCUGCAAACAGUACCAGCAAAAGCCAGACAUCUUACUCCACAACUGCCCUACCACCAACUCCACCAUCCCAGUCAGCCAGCCAGCCUCCAUUGCCAGCAUCUCAUCCAUCACAACCUCCAGCUCCAAGCCUACCUCCCAGAAACAUUAAACCUCCCUUUGACCCAAAAAGCACUGUACAUGAAGAAAAUCAAGACGGUGUCAUGCAUUCUGAUGGUACUGGAAAUCUAGAAGAGGAUCAAGACAGUGAAGUAGAAACAUAUGAAGACAUAGAGGCAUCCAAAGAACGAGACAAGAAACGGGAAAAGGAGGAAAAGAAGAGAAUAGAGCUGGAAAGAAAAGAACAGAAAGAGAAAGAGAAGAAAGAACAAGAAUUAAGGAAAAAAUUUAAACUAACUGGCCCUAUUCAAGUCAUCCAUCAGGCAAAAGCCUGCUGUGAUGUCAAAGGAGGAAAGAAUGAACUAAGCUUCAAGCAAGGAGAGGAAAUUGAAAUAAUCCGUAUCACUGACAACCCUGAAGGAAAAUGGUUGGGCAGAACAGCAAGGGGGUCAUAUGGCUAUAUCAAAACAACUGCUGUAGAGAUUGAUUAUGAUUCUUUGAAAAGGAAAAAGUCCUCUUUCACCACUCUCUCAAGACCCAUUGAAGAUGACCAGGAAGUAUACGAUGAUGUUGCUGAGCAGGAUGCUAGUAACAGCCAAAGUCAGAGUGGAAGUGGAGAAGGCGUCUUCCCACCACCACCGGAUGAUGACAUUUAUGAUGGGAUAGAAGAGGAAGAUGCUAAUGAUGGUUCCACGCUACAGGUUGAAGAGAAGAGUAGCACGUGGUCCUGGGGAAUUUUGAAGAAGUUAAAGGGAAAAGAUGACAAAAAGAAAAGUAUACGAGAGAAACGUAAAGUCUCUGAGUCAGACAAUAAUGAAGGUUCAUCUUUCCCUUCUCCUCCUAAACAAUUGGAAGUGGGAGAAGAAGUGUAUGAUGAUGUGGAUGCCUCUGAUUUCCCUGCCCUGCCAGCAGAGAUGAGUUAUGGAAGCAGCACUGGAAAAGCCAAGACAGAAGAUAAAGAUCCUAAGAAACCAAAAAAACAAGGAAAAGAAGAAAAAGACCUCAGGAAAAAAUUUAAAUAUGAUGGUGAAAUUAGAGUUCUAUAUUCAACCAAAGUUUCAUCUUCCUUAACUUCUAAAAAGUGGGGGACUAGAGAUCUACAGAUAAGGCCUGGUGAAUCUCUUGAAGUUAUACAAAACACAGAUGAUACAAAAGUUCUCUGCAGGAAUGAAGAAGGAAAAUGUAUAGUAGCAGUGUACUUUAUGAUUUCUAAAUUCACUGAUAACUACUUCAACUCUUAGAUGAUUUGGGAAUCUAUGCAGACUAGAAAGCAGAUGGUUAUGUGCUUCGGAGUCAUCUUGUGGACAAUGAUGGAGAGAUUUAUGAUGAUAUUGCUGAUGGUUGCAUCUAUGACAAUGACUAGGACUCAGCUUGUUCAUUCUGUACAUUGUUGUUCAAGAAAUCUAGCUUCUAUGUAGCAUAUGUAAUUGGAUAUCAUAAACAAAUUAAUGCACAGAAAUUCUUAUGACCAUUGGUUAUGAAAUUCUGAUUAUCUUUAUAAAAAUUUGAAAUUUUGAACUUAGAAAAUAAUCUUUCUUCUUAAUAUCUCAAAGGACUGCAUAAGGUGUAAAAAUUAUUAAAUUUCUGCUUUUGCUACAAUUAUAAAGGCAUUUUUUUAGACUAUCAAGACAAUUUCUUCUGGCCACCUGCCCUACCCAAAAAGAAAGAAAGAUAAGAAAGUCAUUCUAAAAGAAAUGACUAUUCUGUCUAAAAAAUAUGUAAGCAAGAAGAAGAAAUACAUAAAAGAAAUCAUAAAGCAUUCCACAAGAAGGAAAAUUAUUGUUCAUUCACUUAUGUUAGUUUCUUGUGUUGUCUAUUCAAAUCAUCUCUCAUUUUAAAAGGUAAAACUGUCUCCUCUUUUGCCAGUGGGCUUUCAAACAUUGUUGUAAAAACAGAACUUUUGUAUAGUUUGUCCCUAUUUGUUAAUUGUGAAUAUAUCUUAAUUAUUUGAUAAGAACAUUACACAUUCAAGUGUGCACAUUUAAGAUUAAACUGUAGAAGAAACUAAAGUGAGUUUUAUUUUUUCAGAAUCAUGUGCUAAUCAUUUAAGUUUCUUUUUAAAGUCCUAAUGUAACUAGAGCAGGUAUGAAUGAGGGCUGUCCUGCAGUUGUGAAGAAUGAAAGAACUCACUAGUCUUUGAUAACACCUAUUUAUUAUAAAAUUUCUUUUAAAAGUCCAA